GAUGAACGCUGGCGGCGUGCCUAAUACAUGCAAGUCGAGCGAACAGAUAAGGAGCUUGCUCCUUUGACGUUAGCGGCGGACGGGUGAGUAACACGUGGGUAACCUACCUAUAAGACUGGAAUAACUCCGGGAAACCGGGGCUAAUGCCGGAUAACAUUUAGAACCGCAUGGUUCUAAAGUGAAAGAUGGUUUUACUAUCACUUAUAGAUGGACCCGCGCCGUAUUAGCUAGUUGGUAAGGUAACGGCUUACCAAGGCAACGAUACGUAGCCGACCUGAGAGGGUGAUCGGCCACACCGGAACUGAGACACGGUCCAGACUCCUACGGGAGGCAGCAGUAGGGAAUCUUCCGCAAUGGGCGAAAGCCUGACGGAGCAACGCCGCGUGAGUGAUGAAGGUCUUCGGAUCGUAAAACUCUGUUAUUAGGGAAGAACAAAUGUGUAAGUAACUGUGCACGUCUUGACGGUACCUAAUCAGAAAGCCACGGCUAACUACGUG
rnacentral:rRNA from 1 species